rnacentral:rRNA from 1 species
UACGUAGGGUGCAAGCGUUGUCCGGAAUUAUUGGGCGUAAAGAGCUCGUAGGCGGUCUGUCGCGUCUGCUGUGAAAACUCGGGGCUUAACCCCGGGCCCGCAGUGGGUACGGGCAGACUAGAGUGCGGUAGGGGAGACUGGAAUUCCUGGUGUAGCGGUGAAAUGUGUAGAGAUCGGGAGGAACACCGGUGGCGAAGGCGGGUCUCUGGGCAAUUCCUGACGCUGAGGCGCGAAAGCGUGGGGAGCAAACGGG